UACGUAGGCAGCGAGCGUUGUUCGGAGUUACUGGGCGUAAAGCGUGCGUAGGCGGUGGUCCAAGUCUGGUGUGAAAUCUCCCGGCUUAACUGGGAGGGUGCGCCGGAAACUGGGCCGCUGGAGUACGGGAGAGGCAAGCGGAAUUCCAGGUGUAGCGGUGAAAUGCGUAGAGAUCGGAAAGAACACCAACGGCGAAAGCACUCUGCUGGGCCGACACUGACACUGAGAGACGAAAGUGCGGGGAUCAAACAGG
rnacentral:rRNA from 1 species